UACGGAGGGUGCAAGCGUUAUCCGGAUUCACUGGGUUUAAAGGGUGCGUAGGUGGGCUAGUAAGUCCGUGGUGAAAUCUCCAAGCUUAACUUGGAAACUGCCGUGGAUACUAUUAGUCUUGAAUCUCGUGGAGGUAAGCGGAAUAUGUCAUGUAGCGGUGAAAUGCUUAGAUAUGACAUAGAACACCAAUUGCGAAGGCAGCUUACUACGGGAACAUUGACACUGAGGCACGAAAGCGUGGGGAUCAAACAGG
rnacentral:rRNA from 1 species